rnacentral:lncRNA from 1 species
GAUAGUAACGGCAACUUCUUAAUAUAUCCAAAAACUAAGUAUAAACUUAGUCAUUAAAAUGGUUUUAUACAAAAUACCCCAUAACAGGAAUUGGGGACUUUUACUCCUAAAUAACCCUUAAAAGAAACCAAGGGUUUGAUUACCAUCUUCUAAAAUAAAAGAAAACAAGUUCAUUACAAGUAACUGGUCACUGAGAAGCAGGAAUAUCGGAGGUAACCGCUUCAAUUCCAACGGUAGGAGCAUUAACAGGAAAAGUCUCGGCCUGACUAGCAACAAAAGGAACAGAUGAACUUGAGGAAGGUAUGUCACUCGUGGAAAUUUCAAUACUCAUGGAUACUUCAGCUAUGGGUGUCUCAGUCAAAGGAGUUGUAGUCACAGGAACUUCAACCUCAGGAGAUGAAAAAUCUUGUGGACGUUGAAUUCGUUCGUGAUCUCAUUCACCUUGGCUAACUCCAAUUCCAGGCUAAAAUUUUUUGGCCCAUUUCUACCAAGGUAUCACGACGAGACCUUAAAAAGGUCCAACUUAUCUCAACAUUGGUUGUCUCCUCAAGAAGUUCAUAAUCUCUCUCCCAAGCAGCAACUUCAUUCUUAAGUUCUUCGUUUUUAGCUAAGACGGAACUAUAAGAUGAUUGAAGAGAGCUAUGAGAAUUCUCUAGGGCAUGAAUCUUGCCUACAGAAACUUGCAGUUCUUCUUGUACCCGUGAAAGGUUUUGUGCUAGCUCCUCAACAUGCAUUUCCUUCUGAGCCAGCAAAGUCUUUAGAGCCCUAUUUUCCUCGUUGACCUUGGACGGCUUCUCCGAAAAGGAAGAUUCAAGGCGCUCUUUUUCCUUUUUAGUUUGGCUCGAGGUAGCCUUGAUCAUUGCCAGCUCGGAGGUUAAUGUUUGAACUUGCCUCUCUAAGUUAUUUUCCCUCUCCUCCAAAUUCUCUAUGUCAAUUUGCGCACUUUCAUAUUAGCCCUUCCAGUUAUUUGCUUCCAAUUGAGAGUCACGUGCAGCCUUUUCUGCAUCGUAAGCGGUCUUCUCCAAGUUAAUUUUUCCUCUCCUCCAAGCCCUUCCAGUUGUUUGCUUCCAAUUGAGAAUCACGUGCAGCCUCUUCUGCAUCGUAAGCGGUCUUCUCCAAGUCACGAGUCAACUUCUCCAAAAGAGAGACUCGGUUCAUUAGUUCAGUACCGAUGAUGUUGG